UACGGAGGGGGCAAGCGUUGUUCGGAGUCACUGGGCGUAAAGGGCGCGUAGGCGGUGCAUCAAGUCAGGCGUGAAAGCCCCGGGCUUAACCUGGGAAUUGCGCUUGAUACUGAUGCGCUAGAGCGCGGGAGAGGAUGGCGGAAUUCCCAGUGUAGAGGUGAAAUUCGUAGAUAUUCGGAAGAACACCAGUGGCGAAGGCGGCAUACUGGCCCAUUACUGACGCUGAGGCUCGAAAGCGUGGGGAGCAAACAGG
rnacentral:rRNA from 1 species